rnacentral:rRNA from 1 species
AGGAUGAACGCUGGCGGCGUGCUUAACACAUGCAAGUCGAACGAACCUUCGGGUUAGUGGCGGACGGGUGAGUAACGCGUGGGAAUCUGCCCUCAGGAGGGGGAUAACGGUUGGAAACGGCCGCUAAUACCCCAUAUGCCGAGAGGUGAAAUGAAUUUCGCCUGAGGAUGAGCCCGCGUCUGAUUAGCUAGUUGGUGAGGUAAUGGCUCACCAAGGCUUCGAUCAGUAGCUGGUCUGAGAGGAUGAUCAGCCACACUGGGACUGAGACACGGCCCAGACUCCUACGGGAGGCAGCAGUGGGGAAUUUUCCGCAAUGGGCGAAAGCCUGACGGAGCAACGCCGCGUGAGGGAUGAAGGCCUCUGGGCUGUAAACCUCUUUUCUCAAGGAAGAAGAUCUGACGGUACUUGAGGAAUAAGCCACGGCUAAUUCCGUGCCAGCAGCCGCGGUAAUACGGGAGUGGCAAGCGUUAUCCGGAAUUAUUGGGCGUAAAGCGUCCGCAGGCGGCCCUACAAGUCUGCUGUUAAAAAGUGGAGCUUAACUCCAUCAUGGCAGUGGAAACUGUUGGGCUUGAGUGUGGUAGGGGCAGAGGGAAUUCCCGGUGUAGCGGUGAAAUGCGUAGAUAUCGGGAAGAACACCAGUGGCGAAGGCGCUCUGCUGGGCCAUAACUGACGCUCAUGGACGAAAGCCAGGGGAGCGAAAGGGAUUAGAUACCCCUGUAGUCCUGGCCGUAAACGAUGAACACUANGUGUCGGGGGAAUCGACCCCCUCGGUGUCGUAGCCAACGCGUUAAGUGUUCCGCCUGGGGAGUACGCACGCAAGUGUGAAACUCAAAGGAAUUGACGGGGGCCCGCACAAGCGGUGGAGUAUGUGGUUUAAUUCGAUGCAACGCGAAGAACCUUACCAGGGUUUGACAUCCUGCGAAUCUCUUGGAAACGAGAGAGUGCCUUCGGGAACGCAGUGACAGGUGGUGCAUGGCUGUCGUCAGCUCGUGUCGUGAGAUGUUGGGUUAAGUCCCGCAACGAGCGCAACCCACGUCUUUAGUUGCCAGCAUUUAGUUGGGCACUCUAGAGAGACCGCCGGUGAUAAACCGGAGGAAGGUGUGGAUGACGUCAAGUCAUCAUGCCCCUUACAUCCUGGGCUACACACGUACUACAAUGCUACGGACAAAGAGCAGCAAGUUCGCGAGGACAAGCAAAUCUCAUAAACCGUGGCUCAGUUCAGAUCGUAGGCUGCAACUCGCCUACGUGAAGGAGGAAUCGCUAGUAAUCGCAGGUCAGCAUACUGCGGUGAAUACGUUCCCGGGCCUUGUACACACCGCCCGUCACACCAUGGAAGUUGGCCACGCCCGAAGUCGUUACUCCAACCCUUGUGGAGGAGGACGCCGAAGGUGGGGCUGAUGACUGGGGUGAAGUCGUAACAAGGUAGCCGU